rnacentral:rRNA from 1 species
UGCACCAGAAGCAGGUAGCUUAACCUUCGGGAGGGCGCUUGCCACGGUGUGGCCGAUGACUGGGGUGAAGUCGUAACAAGGUAGCCGUAUCGGAAGGUGCGGCUGGAUCACCUCCUUUUGAGC